GGCCGUCCCUGGGCAGAUUUGCAGUUUGGGGAAUGUGCUCGGAGAGUUCCCCUACCCAUCCUGUGCCCCUUCUCCUAGUGGCACGUCACAGAUCCUGGUUCAGAAGUCCUCCCGGGGGCCGGGAAAUAGGCCAAGUUGUGGGCGGAUGCGCCCUGCUCCACAUCCCCAGGGGGGUGGGCAAAGCGGGCACAAGCUUAGUUAAGGGUUGGAAAGACUCCCGGACGUGUUCUUUCAAAGGGGAGAUUUUCAGCUGUUUUCAUGGACGGGAUCGUUGCUAGAUUUUGGAUGCAAAUAUUACCCCGCGAGUGGUAAAAAGCAAGACCUAAAACGUUCAGAGAAGUGGAUGGAGGAGGGAGCUCUCGUCUAUCUCCUCCGCUAGCCCAGGCUUCGGUUGCUCUCACCCACCCAGCCCCCAGAUGCAGAACAGGAACCUUGUGCCAACUGGAAUGUGGGAAGGGCCGCCCACUUCCCCUCGUCCUGGCGCCGGGUUCCUCGCCAACCCCGGGGAGGUCGCCUCUGGCUCACAGACAUCCUCAGAGGCAUGGGGUGGGUGCCCUGUAGAAAUGCAGCCCAGGCUUGGAAACAAAUAAAAUCUCUAUCCAUUUGAUAAUAAUAAUAAUAAUAAUAAUAUAGGUGCGGUGGCUCACGCCUGUAAUCCUGGCUCUUUGGGAGGCCAAGGUGGGCGGAAUUUUUUGUUGUUGUUGUUAUGACCCAGGAGUUUAAGACCAGCCUGGCCAUCAGGGUGAAACCCCGUAUCUACUAAAAAUAGAAGAAUUAGCCGGGUAUGGUGGCACAUACCUGUAAUCCCAGCUACUCGGGAGGCUGAGGUGGGAGGAUCUCUUGAAUUCGAGAGACGGAGGUUGUGGUGAGCUGAGAUGGCACCCCUGCACUCCAGCCUGGGCCAGACCUGUCUAAAAACAAAAACAACAACAAAAACACCUUGCGGCCUCGCGCAGUGGCUCACGCCUGUAAUCCCAGCACUCUGGGAGGCCAAGGUAGGUGGAUCACGAGGUCAGGAGACCAUCCUGGCUAACACUGUGAAAUCCCGCCUCUACUAAAAAUACAAAAAAUUAGCCAGGCGUGGCGGCGUGUGCCUGUAAUCCCAGCUACUUGGGAGGCUCAGGCAGGAGAAUUGCUUGAACCCGGGAGGCGGAGGUUUCUGUGAGCCGAGAUCGUGCCACUGCACUCCAGUCUGGGCGACAGAGCGAGACUCCGUAUCAAAAAAAAAACAAAAAACAAAAAACAAAAAAA
rnacentral:lncRNA from 1 species